AGUGAACGCUGGCGGUAGGCCUAACACAUGCAAGUCGAACGGCCGCACAGUAAGAGCUUGCUCUUACGGGUAGCGAGUGACGGACGGGUGAGGAAUACAUAGGAAUCUAAUUUUUCGUGGGGGACAACGUAGGGAAACAUACGCUACUACCGCAUACGACCUACGGGUUAAAGCAAGGGAGCUUCGGACCUUGCGCGAUUGAAUGAGACGAUGUCGGAUUAGCUUGUUGGCGGGGUAAAGGCCCACCAAGGCGACGAUCCGUAGCUGGUCUGAGAGGAUGAUCAGCCACACUGGAACUGAGACACGGUCCAGACUCCUACGGGAGGCAGCAGUGGGGAAUAUUGGACAAUGGGCGCAAGCCUGAUCCAGCCAUACCGCGUGGGUGAAGAAGGCCUUCGGGUUGUAAAGCCCUUUUGUUGGGAAAGAAAAGCAGCAGGUUAAUACCCCGCUGUUCUGACGGUACCCAAAGAAUAAGCACCGGCUAACUUCGUG
rnacentral:rRNA from 1 species